rnacentral:rRNA from 1 species
CAGCCGCCGCGGUAAUACGGAGGGCGCGAGCGUUACCCGGAUUUACUGGGCGUAAAGGGCGUGUAGGCGGCCUGGGCGUCCCAUGUGAAAGGCCACGGCUCAACCGCGGAGGAGCGUGGGAUACGCUCAGGCUAGAGGGUGGGAGAGGGUGGUGGAAUUCCCGGAGUAGCGGUGAAAUGCGCAGAUACCGGGAGGAACGCCGAUGGCGAAGGCAGCCACCUGGUCCACUUCUGACGCUGAGGCGCGAGAGCGUGGGGAGCAAACCGGAUUAGAUACCCCAGUAGUCCCUGUCUCUUAUACA